rnacentral:rRNA from 1 species
GACGAACGCUGGCGGCGUGCUUAACACAUGCAAGUCGAACGGUGAAGCCCUUCGGGGUGGAUCAGUGGCGAACGGGUGAGUAACACGUGAGUAAUCUGCCUCUGACUCUGGGAUAACCACGGGAAACGGUGGCUAAUACCGGAUAUGACAUGCGGCCGAGUGGUCUGUGUGUGGAAAGUUUUUCGGUCAGAGAUGAGCUCGCGGCCUAUCAGCUUGUUGGUGGGGGAAUGGCCUACCAAGGCGACGACGGGUAGCCGGCCUGAGAGGGCGACCGGCCACAAUGGGACUGAGACACGGCCCAGACUCCUACGGGAGGCAGCAGUGGGGAAUAUUGCGCAAUGGGCGAAAGCCUGACGCAGCGACGCCGCGUGAGGGAUGAAGGCCUUCGGGUCGUAAACCUCUUUCAGCAGGGAAGAAGCGCAAGUGACGGUACCUGCAGAAGAAGCACCGGCUAACUACGUGCCAGCAGCCGCCGUAA